AUAUUCGCGUUGAAGAAGAAUAGUAGAGAUUACCCUUUUUUGUAGAGAGAGAAUGGUUGGUGAAAAUUCUCAAAAAGGAAUCUUGAACCAGCCUUGGAGCUCUGUACCGAAAGAUUGAGUAAGCUAUUGAUCUCGUUAUCGAUUUUAAAGAUAUGAUGAUAGAGCCAUGGACUAUGAUCAUAAUUAGGGUGGUACCGCCGUUUUUGGCCCCUUAC
rnacentral:ncRNA from 1 species